rnacentral:rRNA from 1 species
UACGUAGGGUGCAAGCGUUGUCCGGAAUUAUUGGGCGUAAAGCGCACGUAGGCGGCUUGUUGCGUCGACUGUGAAAAACCCGCGGCUUAACCGCGGGCUUGCAGUUGAUACGGGCAGGCUAGAGUUCGGUAGGGGGAGACUGGAAUUCCUGGUGUAGCGGUGAAAUGCGCAGAUAUCAGGAGGAACACCGGUGGCGAAGGCGGCCCACUGGUCCGGUACUGACGCUGAGGUGCGAAAAGCGUGGGGAGCAAACAGG